AUAAGUUUGUUGCAAAGAAGAUUCAAAGUGGGUGGUUAAAGUGAUCAACAACUGCCGUUUUUGUUUUUUUGGAAUGCUGAAGAACAGCUGUAACAGGUUUGUAUUUCCAUUUCUGCAUCUCUUUUUAAUUAAAUUAAUUAUGAUCAUUAUCAUAUUUAUGUAUUGUCACUGGGAAAUGUAACUGGAUGAGUAAAUGUAAUGCAAUUUUAAGGAAAAAAACACCAUUUGAAUUAUUAUGGCUGUAUUUUAUGGUUAUUGUCAUCUUAAAAUUUAUUUAUACCUAUUUCUUGUCAUUAAUGAACAGAUUUCUUUCCCCCAUAUUUAAUCAGAACUUUAAUAUUUUAUAUUUGAAGGUUAAACCCCAAGGUGAAAUUUACAUUGAUCGGAAGAUCCAUUGGACAGAAUGUGCAUCAUCGCCUGCCAAAUAAGGGAGCAAAAAGGGGACUACCUGAUGUAUGGACAUGUAUACCAGGCCAACUUGAGGGGAACAGGAGUGGGAAACCGUGCCCUGUAGCUUGUCCUUGACCAAGAAAAGAUGGAUUUGUUGAGAGGACCUGAUCUCAAAUGAGAUCAUGCACGAGAAGCGCCUCGCAGACCAUGACAGUAGUAUUCAGACCUGAUCAGCUGGUGAAGUGCUCUAUAAAGGGUUGUUUAUGAAUGCAUUCUUUGUAAGGAACAGUGUAUAACAACAAAUAUAGUGACAGGGGCUAAGCUGCUAAAUAUUGUCAGCAUGUAUGCAGUGAU